UACGUAGGUGGCAAGCGUUGUCCGGAAUUAUUGGGCGUAAAGCGCGCGUAGGCGGCCCGGUAAGUCCGUUGUGAAAGUCAAAGGCUCAACCUUUGAACGCCGAUGGAUACUGCCGGGCUAGAGUCCGGAAGAGGCGAGUGGAAUUCCUGGUGUAGCGGUGGAAUGCGCAGAUAUCAGGAGGAACACCAAUAGCGAAGGCAGCUCGCUGGGACGGUACUGACGCUGAGGCGCGAAAGCGUGGGGAGCGAACAGG
rnacentral:rRNA from 1 species